rnacentral:tRNA from 1 species
UGGCUCAGUUGGCAGAGCAUGUAACUCUUGAUUUCGGGGUUGUGAGUUCGAACCUCAC